GUAGCUGAUAACGUUGCUGCUACCUAAUUUCGGUGCCAGAUAACGUCGUAACAACAUUGUGACAACGGGAAAUUGUUAGCUGGCCAAACUAUACAUCACAGCGUACACAACUGAGCAGUGAGAGAGUCCCCUGUUGGUUCUGCACAUGAGGUCUGAGAAGUCAGCACUCAGGUCCAAUUCGCCCCAUCCCCAUGAUGGCCAAGAGCACUCCCCUGAUCCACCACCAUGCAGUGUCCAUGGCAACAGAGAAGUGAGGAGGGAUUCUUCCCGGUCUCAGACCUGCUCUCCCAUCAGACCUGCUCUCCCAUCCUACCUCAGUCACUCUGGUUGAGUUACAAGCCCUAAUCAGACAAAUGGAUGGUCUACUCUGUUUGAAUAUUGAUGUUGGGAGCGGGGGACCUUGAAACCUCCCCUAGGGGCUUCUCCAGAGGGCA